rnacentral:pre_miRNA from 1 species
UUUGUACUCCCUCCAUUCCAAAUUACUCAUCGCAGAAAUGGAUGUAUCUAGAACUAAAAUACAUCUAGAUACAUCCAUACCUGCGACAAGUAAUUCGGAACGGAGGGAGUACAGC